UACGUAGGAUCCAAGCGUUAUCCGGAAUUACUGGGCGUAAAGCGUACGUAGGUGGAUGUUUAAGUGAGAUGCGAAAUCUGGCGGCUCAACCGUCUAGACUGUGUCUCAUACUGGGCAUCUGGAGGAUGGCAGAGGCAAGUGGAAUUUCCGGUGUAGCAGUGAAAUGCGUAGAGAUCGGAAGGAACACCAAUGGCGAAGGCAGCUUGCUGGGCCACACCUGACACUGAGGUACGAAAGCGUGGGGAGCGAACAGG
rnacentral:rRNA from 1 species